GCAAUGGUGUUGUCAGCUUGUGUCGUGAGAUGUUGGGUUAAGUCCCCGCAACGAGCGCAACCCUUGUCGUUAGUUGCCAGCAUUCAGUUGGGCACUCUAAGGAGACUGCCGGUGACAAACCGGAGGAAGGUGGGGACGAGUCAAGUCAUCAUGGCCCUUACGUGUAGGGCUACACACGUGCUACAAUGGCAUUUACAGAGAGAAGCGAGACAGUGAUGUGGAGCGGACCCCUUAAAGAAUGUCGUAGUCCGGGUUGGAGUCUGCAACUCGACUCCAUGAAGUCGGAAUCGCUAGUAAUCGCAGGUCAGAAUACUGCGGUGAAUACGUUCCCGGGCCUUGUACACACCGCCCGUCACACCAUGGGAGUGGGAUGCAAAAGAAGUAGUUAGUCUAACCUUCGGGAGGACGAUUACCACUUUGUGUUUCAUGACUGGGGUGAAGUCGUAACAAGGUAACC
rnacentral:rRNA from 1 species